GCGGGAGUGGCGAAAUUGGCAGACGCGCAGGACUUAGGAUCCUGUGGGUAAAACCGUGCGGGUUCGAGUCCCGCCUUCCGCA
rnacentral:tRNA from 1 species